UGGAAGAGGAGGUUAAUGUUCAGGG
rnacentral:piRNA from 1 species